rnacentral:misc_RNA from 1 species
GCUUUAAAGAACCUUAAAAAUAUGACAUACUACAAUCAAUAAGCCGUGGAAAUUGCUUCGUUUAUAUCUUUAGAAGGCAUGGCAUGAGUAACUGAUAGGACUGUGAAUGAGCCAAUUUGCUUGUAUGCUACUUAGAAUUCAACUCAAUAAAAGCUUCCUUGAAUUCAUUCAUUAAGAUUAUUAAUGAGCUAUAAUCAAACUUACUUUUAAAGCUUGUUUAACAAAUCACUAAGGCUUAAAUCAAGUAUAGCUAUAUCUGUUUGAGUUCAUGAGCCAACUUGUUACGACUUAUUAAUAAUUUGAUUAUGACUUUAAGUU